rnacentral:rRNA from 1 species
ACGAACGCUGGCGGCACGCUUAACACAUGCAAGUCGAACGAGAGAAGAGAAGCUUGCUUUUCUGAUCUAGUGGCGGACGGGUGAGUAACACGUGAGCAAUCUGCCUUUCAGAGGGGGAUACCGAUUGGAAACGAUCGUUAAUACCGCAUAACAUAAUUGAACCGCAUGAUUUGAUUAUCAAAGAUUUAUCGCUGAAAGAUGAGCUCGCGUCUGAUUAGCUAGUUGGUAAGGUAACGGCUUACCAAGGCGACGAUCAGUAGCCGGACUGAGAGGUUGAUCGGCCACAUUGGGACUGAGACACGGCCCAGACUCCUACGGGAGGCAGCAGUGGGGAAUAUUGCACAAUGGAGGAAACUCUGAUGCAGCGAUGCCGCGUGAGGGAAGAAGGUUUUAGGAUUGUAAACCUCUGUCUUCAGGGACGAAAAAAGACGGUACCUGAGGAGGAAGCUCCGGCUAACUACGUGCCAGCAGCCGCGGUAAUACGUAGGGAGCGAGCGUUGUCCGGAAUUACUGGGUGUAAAGGGAGCGUAGGCGGGAUCGCAAGUCAGAUGUGAAAACUAUGGGCUUAACCCAUAAACUGCAUUUGAAACUGUGGUUCUUGAGUGAAGUAGAGGUAAGCGGAAUUCCUAGUGUAGCGGUGAAAUGCGUAGAUAUUAGGAGGAACAUCAGUGGCGAAGGCGGCUUACUGGGCUUUAACUGACGCUGAGGCUCGAAAGCGUGGGGAGCAAACAGGAUUAGAUACCCUGGUAGUCCACGCCGUAAACGAUGAUUACUAGGUGUGGGGGGACUGACCCCUUCCGUGCCGCAGCAAACGCAAUAAGUAAUCCACCUGGGGAGUACGACCGCAAGGUUGAAACUCAAAGGAAUUGACGGGGGCCCGCACAAGCAGUGGAGUAUGUGGAUUAAUUCGAAGCAACGCGAAGAACCUUACCAGGUCUUGACAUCGUAUGCAUAGCUCAGAGAUGAGUGAAAUCUCUUCGGAGACAUAUAGACAGGUGGUGCAUGGUUGUCGUCAGCUCGUGUCGUGAGAUGUUGGGUUAAGUCCCGCAACGAGCGCAACCCUUACUGUUAGUUGCUACGCAAGAGCACUCUAGCAGGACUGCCGUUGACAAAACGGAGGAAGGUGGGGAUGACGUCAAAUCAUCAUGCCCCUUAUGACCUGGGCCUCACACGUACUACAAUGGCUGUCAACAGAGGGAAGCAAAGCCGCGAGGUGGAGCAAACCCCUAAAAGCAGUCUUAGUUCGGAUUGUAGGCUGCAACCCGCCUACAUGAAGUCGGAAUUGCUAGUAAUCGCAGAUCAGCAUGCUGCGGUGAAUACGUUCCCGGGCCUUGUACACACCGCCCGUCACGCCAUGGGAGUCGGUAACACCCGAAGCCUGUAGUCUAACCGCAAGGAGGACGCAGUCGAAGGUAGGAUUGAUGACUGGGGUG